CCUACGGGGGGCAGCAGUGGGGGAUAUUGCACAAUGGGGGGAACCCUGAUGCAGCGACGCCGCGUGGGUGAAGAAGCGCCUCGGCGCGUAAAGCCCUGUCAGCAAGGAAGAAAAUGACGGUACCUGAAGAAGAAGCCCCGGCUAACUACGUGCCAGCAGCCGCGGUAAUACGUAGGGGGCAAGCGUUAUCCGGAUUUACUGGGUGUAAAGGGGGCGCAGACGGCGAUGCAAGCCAGGAGUGAAAGCCCGGGGCCCAACCCCGGGACUGCUCUUGGAACUGCGUGGCUAGAGUGCAGGAGGGGCAGGCGGAAUUCCUGGUGUAGCAGUGAAAUGCGUAGAUAUCAGGAGGAACACCGGUGGCGAAGGCGGCCUGCUGGACUGCAACUGACGUUGAGGCCCGAAAGCGUGGGGAGCAAACAGGAUUAGAUACCCGAGUAGUC
rnacentral:rRNA from 1 species